UACAGAGGGUGCGAGCGUUAAUCGGAAUUACUGGGCGUAAAGCGCACGUAGGCGGGUUGUUAAGUCAGGGGUGAAAUCCUGGAGCUCAACUCCAGAACUGCCUUUGAUACUGGCAACCUAGAGGCUGGAAGAGGUUAGUGGAAUUCCCAGUGUAGAGGUGAAAUUCGUAGAUAUUGGGAAGAACACCAGUGGCGAAGGCGGCUAACUGGUCCAGAUCUGACGCUGAGGUGCGAAAAGCGUGGGGGAGCAAACAGG
rnacentral:rRNA from 1 species